rnacentral:rRNA from 1 species
UAUCGGAACGUGCCCUGUAGCGGGGGAUAACCUAUCGAAAGAUGGUCUAAUACCGCAUACGCUCUACGGAGGAAAGCGGGGGUUCUUGGGCAACUGAGGACCUCGCACUAUAGGAGCGGCCGAUAUCGGAUUAGCUAGUUGGCGGGGUAAAAGCCCACCAAGGCGACGAUCCGUAGCUGGUCUGAGAGGAUGAUCAGCCACACUGGAACUGAGACACGGUCCAG